rnacentral:rRNA from 1 species
GAUGAACGCUGGCGGCGUGCCUAAUACAUGCAAGUCGAACGAGCAGACGAGGACCUGUCUCCUCUGACUUUAUCGGCGGACGGGUGAUUAACACGUGGAUAACCUACCUAUAAGACUGGGAUAACUUCGGGAAACCGUAUCUUAUACCCGAUAAUUUAUUGAACCUCAUUGUUCACUAGUUGAAUUCGGUUUUUCUGUCACUUAUAGAUUGAUACGCGCCGCAUUAGCUAGUUGGUAAGGUAAUUGCUUACCAACGCAACGAUGGGUAGCCGACCCGAGAGCGUGAAUCGCCACACUGGAACUGAGAAACGGUCCAGACUCCUACGGGAGGCAGCAGUAGGGACUCUUCCGGAAUGGAGGAAAGCCUGACGUAGCACAGCCGCGUGAGUGAUGAAGGUCUAAGGCUCGUAAAACUAUGAAAUUAGGGAAGUAGAAAUGUGUAAGUAACUAUGAUCAUAUUGACGGUACCGAGUGAAAAAGCCACGGCUAACUACGUG